CUGACCUGACUUCAGCUUGAUCAAGUCUCCUGUAAAGCAAGUGAUUCCCAGGAGCUUGGACAAGGUGACUGUGUCCACCCCAAUAAUGGGACCUCAUCAGAACAUCCAGAGAACACACUGUGUGUCAUAUACUACAACGGGCUCUGAGGUUUGGCUUUUCCUCUUACUAACAAAGAACCUGUUGGGUGGCUACUAGUAAAUGGUGGUCCUCCUGGGAGCUAUAGCUUCACUAAGAUUAAAUGAAGGCAGUAUUCUUAAGUCGCUUCCCAAGUCCAGAGCGAUCAAAAAUGUCUUCUUGGAGGAGGGAGAACUGAGCCAGUCCUUGAGGAUAGCUAGGAUUUAGA
rnacentral:lncRNA from 1 species